rnacentral:rRNA from 1 species
AUGCUGGAGAAAUAUAUCAAUCGACACAAACCAAGAAAAAAAACUAAUAAGACAAACCUCCAACAUUACCGAGUAGAGUGUCUUAAUUCUGUUAUUGACUGGCAACUUCAAGAGUUUGAUGACCGUUUCAAUGAGGUAAAUUCUGCAUUACUUGGUCACAUGUCUUCUUUCAACCCAAACGAUGGAUUUGUUGCUUUUAACUUGAAUAGCUUAGUGAAGCUAGCUGAGUUUUAUCCAGAUGAUUUUGAUACAAAAAAAUGGAUGAUUUUGAUCCUGAACUGCGCAUUUACAUUGAUAAUGUGCGAGCGGAUGAAAGGUUUGCUAAUUUGGACGAGAUUACUAAUCUUGCGAAGUUAA